AAGUCCAUGCUGUGAUGCAAUACAAUUCUAACCCCAGGGCAAAGGAUGUCAGUGCCUCCUCCUGCCCCAUGCUGCAUUUGGCAUCUCCUCAAAAAAAGACAUGUCACGCUGGAUAGCUGGGAAAUGG